UACGUAGGGUGCGAGCGUUGUCCGGAAUUAUUGGGCGUAAAGAGCUCGUAGGCGGUGUGUCACGUCGUUCGUGAAAACCUGCAGCUUAACUGUGGGCGUGCGGUCGAUACGGGCAUCACUGGAGUUCGGCAGGGGAGACUGGAAUUCCUGGUGUAGCGGUGAAAUGCGCAGAUAUCAGGAAGAACACCAACGGCGAAGGCAGCUCGCUGGGUAGAUACUGACGCUGAGGUGCGAAAGCGUGGGGAGCAAACAGG
rnacentral:rRNA from 1 species